rnacentral:tRNA from 1 species
GGGUCCCUGGCGCAAUGGUUAGCGCAUUCGGCUUCGAACCGAAAGGCUGCAGGUUCGAGUCCUGCGGGGCUCG